AUUGAACGCUGGCGGCAGGCCUAACACAUGCAAGUCGAGCGGAUGAAGGGAGCUUGCUCCUGGAUUCAGCGGCGGACGGGUGAGUAAUGCCUAGGAAUCUGCCUGGUAGUGGGGGAUAACGUCCGGAAACGGGCGCUAAUACCGCAUACGUCCUGAGGGAGAAAGUGGGGGAUCUUCGGACCUCACGCUAUCAGAUGAGCCUAGGUCGGAUUAGCUAGUUGGUGGGGUAAAGGCCUACCAAGGCGACGAUCCGUAACUGGUCUGAGAGGAUGAUCAGUCACACUGGAACUGAGACACGGUCCAGACUCCUACGGGAGGCAGCAGUGGGGAAUAUUGGACAAUGGGCGAAAGCCUGAUCCAGCCAUGCCGCGUGUGUGAAGAAGGUCUACGGACUGUAAAGCACUUUAAGUUGGGAGGAAGGGCAGUAAGUUAAUACCUUGCUGUUUUGACGUUACCAACAGAAUAAGCACCGGCUAACUUCGUG
rnacentral:rRNA from 1 species